AAAAAAUAAGCUUUCACGUGUAGCCUAUUAAGAGAGCCGCACGCAAAAAAAUACACACUCUCUCUGCACUCCUACCCACUUUAAAUUUUUCCCUUUUUUCUCUUCUCUCCUCUCUCCUCUCUCCUCUCUAUCUCUCUAUCUCUUUUUCUUCUCUCCUCUCUAUCUCUUUUUCCCGUCCUCUCCUCUCCUCUCCUCCCGAGUCCCAACGGCGGCGGCGGGGGGCGUAGGUGGCGACGGUGGUGUGGCAACGGCGUGCGAGAUCCGGUGGGUGGUGGCCAACCCUCGCACGGAUCCGGCAGCGGCAGUGCGGCCGUAGGGGAACACGGAUCCGGCGGCCUCCCCCCUCCCCCCGGAUCCGGCUCCCCUCCCCUUCCUUCCCUCCCUAUAUCCGGCGGAGGGGAGGGGCGUCGGCAACGGUGCGGCCGGAGGGGAGCGCGGAGGCCGCCGCCAUCGACGAUGAGGGCGGGAGCAGCAUCCUCGGCUGCCGAGAACGACGAGGAGGAGGAGGAGGCCGACGAUGACGAUGAGGAGGCGGCGGCGGCGCCGGAUUCUAGGUUUUCAAUUUUUUGAAUUUUUUUCCGGAUUUUUGUUUUUUCGUGCGGGCAACAUAAGUACUUGCACCGAUUUUUACGUGCGGGUGCACCACCCAUUCACAAAAGUUAUGAUUUUUCCAUCACACGUGAAAAUUAAAUUUGACCACACGGAAAAAACCGUUCUCCUAGCAGUGGCAUGAGAGGCGGCGGUGAAUUACGCAGCGCCGGGACGGCCGGAAUUAUGGUUGAGAGAGUACGUGAUUGCUAGCGUAACGUGCGUGUGCGUGCGUACGAAACGCAUAUAAUGCGUUUUUGGUUUGGCCAUGCGACCGGCGCUGCGCUGCGUGUCCUGGCCUGGUGGUGGUGUACUGUGGGGGUUAAGCUAGAUAGCGGUAGCCAGCUAGGUAGCUGUGGGCGUGACGCGUGCGGCGCGUCGCACCGCCUGGCCGGGCUAAUCAGCAACCGAUCGAAGCAUGUAUACUACGCAUGGGUUGUAAGGCACUGUGCCGUGCGUGACUGUGCGUGCAUGCGCACUAGCUCGAUUGCUAGCUGCUGGGUGGUGGUGAGGGCCACCGCCGACAUGAUCGAUCGACAACGGAACAUGGAGUCAUGCAAAUUGCGCUCCCCCGUUCGUUCGUCUGCUGCCUAGCUAUAGCUUACCCUAUCAUCUCAUCCCAUCCGUAAGUUACCGCGAUCCAAUUUAGCCUCUCUCCUGAUUAAUUAAUUUCUCUUCGAUUCACUCACUACCUAAUUCUUCACUAAGAGCCUGAUUGAAGAAGCUUAAGAUUAUGAAAAGUAACUAAUUGGUAGUCACCUUUUGAGAAUUUGAGGAGUUUGAUUUUUUUCAUCUUUGUUUUAGUUUAUUUUCUGAAUUCUACAAUUAAAUCUUUUUAGAAUAUAAAAAAGUUAUUGUUUAAAGGUUUUUUUUGGGACAAGCUGUAACCAUUAGAAGCCCUAAAUUACGGUUACAUUCCUCCUAGUUAAACUUGUUUGGAGUACUGAGACUACGUGUUGGAACCAAAUCCAACGGGGAUCCAAUCACCGGGAAAGAGUGGUAUGGUUUCUCUCUUUCAUCUGCCCCCUCAUGGGGGGCGAGAUCUAGUUAUAUAGCACUUAGUACAAAGUUAUAGAAAAUUACAGCAGUAUUCCUCCUUAGCCUAUCUAGGGAUGGCAAUCGGGCACGACGGGCAUGGGUUGUGACUACCCAUCCCAGUGCCCGCGAGGUAAUUCUCGCCCGCGGGCAUGCCUAUUACCACAUGACGGGCAAGGAACACUGCCCAUGCCUGUCACCUGCGGGAGCCAUGUGCCUGCGGGCACACCCGUUUACCCGCCACAUGUUCAACCACAAUUCUCCACAAGCAGUGAGAUAGUUCAGCACUUCAACCAUACAAACAUUACAAGCUCAUCAAUUUAGGUGGUGGCUUUUAUACUGAAAUUAAAUUAGGGCUGGCGGCUGUGGAGGAAAGGGGAAGGAAAGGAAAGAAACCCUGGAAUUCUAGGUGGUGGCUUUUAUAUUGAAAUUAACUGAGGGUCCACAUGUCAGUUAGUGACUACUCAUGCCCGUGCCCGUUUGCCCGUUGGGUACAUGUUUUGACCCAACAAGAAACCCAUGGGUACUAAAUAGAGAACAAACCCAACUCUAUUAGGUUUUUACCUACAUGUAAAUGGGUAAACGAGUCAAAUUGCCCUCCCUAAGCCUACCCCUUGGUAGAAGCCAACAGGUGGCCCCUAGGUAGGGGUAGUGAGGUAAAACCCUAGGGGACAACGAAUGGAAUUGUAGCCAUUAGACUGCCAUCUCGAGGACUCCUAUGUUCCGCAGGGUGCACUUCUCGAGGCCAUGGCGUGAUAACGAGACGUCUCGGCCUCAACCCCACCUAUUGUGCGGAGGGUGUUAGGAGGUAGCUGAGCACAUCGAUCAAUGCGCCAUUAAAGCUCCCACGGGCGGCUUCCGUGGUUGGAUCUUUGGCUCCAUAGCCAGGGCCGGGGUCUUCGGAUGCCUUGCCUUGGACUCCUAUCCAGAGCCGCCGGAACCUACCAAAGCGCAUUGUGGCUUGGCACGUCCGGAGGCUCUCCGAAAGGCCUCUGAGAGAUUUGAUUUCCGAGGAGCAAGGUUACUCUAGGAAAUUAAUAGGGGGUACCGGUGAUCUCUCUUGUUCAAGUCGAAGCCACUCCCCCAACACUGCAUGCGACCGUGGUAUUAGGCAAAGGAGGGUGGAUGUGGAUUGGACAAACAUAUAUAGCUACGGUGGGGUGGCAUUAUAUUGUGGCAUCCAUGCAAGCAUACAUCCUCAUGUGUAGCCUAGCAUAGAUGAGCUAGCGCACGCAUGUGACAACUACUAACGGGUAAGGGUACCUAGCGAUCGAUCGUCGUUAGGUGGGUUUGUAUACACGGUGCCACAGAAUACGUACAGAUGCCUCAGAUUACUUGUUAGGUAAACAUUGUCCCAUCCCAGCAGUGAUACAUAUGUGCAGGAGCAGUAGCGACCUACUCCCUCUGUCCCAAAAAAAGACAAACCGUGGGUUCUUGUGCCAACGUUUGACUGUCCGUCUUAUAUGAAAUUUUUUUAUAAUUAGUAUUUUCGUUGUUGUUAGAUGAUAAAACAUGAUUAAUACUUUAUGUGUGACUUAUCUUUUUAAUUUUUUUCAUAAUUUUUUCAAAUAAAAUGAACGAUCAAACGUUGGACACGAAAACCAAGGUUUGUCUUUUUUUGGGACGGAGGGAUUAGCUAUUUCCUAUUAGCUUGAGGAAAGAUGCACGCAGAGUGACGUGCUAGGUAAUAAUAAUCUAGCUCGGUUACGAAUUUAUUGCUGGUACUGGUAUCGAUCGAACACAUCGAAAUUGAUCCAAAUUGGUACUAGCGAGUAGGCUGCAAUCACAUACUAGCAAUUAGGAGUACACUUGAUCAGAGAUCGAUGUAUGUAUUUAUGUGCAAAAACUUGAGAGUAGAUGCAAAUUUUCAACAAAUAUAAUUUCUUCAGAGAACGAGUAUAAAUCCAACAAUUAUUGAUUUGUCCAAACUGUUAAGACAUGAAUUUCCUUGAUUUUUCGCGACAUGCAUGGACCCAUGGGCGAGAUGCUGAGUUAUUCGUGGGGCGCAUGGUCCCGAUUUAACUUUGAGCCAGUGCAGAAUAUAAUGACGAAAAUUGGAGAAACUACUCGAAGCAACAAACUAUUUUUUCUUCCUCGCAAUAAAAAGCAAUAUUUUUUUCUAUACGAUUCCCUGUUAGUACUUUGGAACAUAUGUAAAUCCCAGGAAAAAGAAUCUGGAUUCACUGUACACCAACCCUGCUGAUUUGAACUCCGCUGGAUUUACUGUAGCUCGAGUGAUGUCGGCGUCCUCCAUAAAGUACAAACUACUUAAAAGCUAAGCAUAAUUUAGCAAGAAAAAAAACACUUUUUGACGAGCUUAAUUUCCAUGUUGACUCGGCAGGUUUCCUCAUGAAGUUUAAGGUGUUUCAUAUUCCUACACAAUUGCAUACCGGGAAAAAGAUGGACAAAAUAAAAAAGCGAGGAGAGAUAAGUAUAGAAGAGCUUCAGUGUGAACCGAUGAUGUCGUCUUGUUAGGCAGCAUGGUGGUCAUUAUCGGCCACUUACCGCCAAUUUACGGUCACUUUCCGCCUCCUAAUGAUUCUCGGCUUCGGGUUCAAUCGGAGCUCGCAACCAGGGACCUCUUUUCCCUGUUCCUUGAUUGAUUUGUAUCUGGCGCCCUGCGCGUGCGCGUUCUUAAUUCUCAGCCUAUCCACCCGCGCGAGUGGUGACUUGGCCUCGCUUAGUCUGCACUUUGCUGUCUAAUCCGGUUG
rnacentral:lncRNA from 1 species